rnacentral:rRNA from 1 species
CCUACGGGUGGCAGCAGUGGGGAAUAUUGCGCAAUGGGCGAAAGCCUGACGCAGCGACGCCGCGUGAGGGAUGAAGGUCUUCGGAUCGUAAACCUCUGUCAGCAGGGAAGAACGGUCACUUUGCUAAUCAGCAGUGAAUUGACGGUACCUGCAAAGGAAGCACCGGCUAACGCCGUGACAGCAGCCUCGGUAAUACGGAGGGUGCGAGCGUUAAUCGGAAGUACUGGGCGUAAAGCGCUCGUAGGCGGUAGGUCAAGUCAAGGGUGAAAUCCCCGCGCUCAACGUGGGAACUGCCUUUGAAACUGGAAAGCUGGAGUGUGUGAGAGGAUAGUGGAAUUCCAGGUGUAGGAGUGAAAUCCGUAGAUAUCUGGAGGAACAUCAGUGGCGAAGGCGACUAUCUGGCACAUAACUGACGCUGAGGAGCGAAAGCGUGGGUAGCAAACAGGAUUAGAUACCCUGGUAGUC